rnacentral:rRNA from 1 species
UACAGAGGGGGCAAGCGUUGUUCGGAAUUACUGGGCGUAAAGGGCGCGUAGGCGGCCUUCUAAGUCGAACGUGAAAUCCCCGGGCUCAACCCGGGAACUGCGUCCGAGACUGGAAGGCUUGAAUCCGGGAGAGGGAUGUGGAAUUCCAGGUGUAGCGGUGAAAUGCGUAGAUAUCGGGAGGAACACCGGUGGCGAAGGCGGGUCUCUGGGCCGAUAUCGACGCUGAGGAGCGAAAGCGUGGGGAGCGAACAGG